rnacentral:lncRNA from 1 species
GUUGUGGCUAGAGAGCUGAUACUGCAGCCAUGGGCAUCAGAACAACCCUCGUUUAUUGCAGAGUUGUAGCGUCUCACCCAGUCCCUCACCACAACAGAGAUGGAAAUCACACAUCUACACACUCUCCUGUUCACCCACAUGUUUUGUGCAUCAACCACUGGAAGGGCAAACGGGGUUGUGUGGCCCUAUAGUCAUUCAGGGUGUUAGGUUCAUCUGUUUGACCCCGGCAGUCGAGGGAGUCGAGAGCCUGCAUCUAUUAAGAAUCAUCGGGCUUGGUUAGACUGGAGAAAUCCACACCAUCAUGCAUGCCUCGUGGGUAAUGUACAACACAGGCUGCUUGACAUUAUGGAACUCUCUGGGCCACACCAUGGUUGAUGUUGGGCGUAUGGAUUUGGAGAGUGCUGAAUGGUGCAUAUUAGAAAGCUGGAUUAAGGAUGGAACUCUCAGAAGGAUCAGUCAGCUCAUUCUGACCAUUGAUCUGCAGUGGCGGGGUUUGUAGGUGGGUGGUGUCGAAGAGGAGGUGGUGCGUUUCUGGUACAGUGUACUUGAGAGCCCUCCACAUCUCAGGACUCCAACUCAUGCAUUCAGCACAUGAAACUCCUCACAUCAGUAACCUUUAUUUAUUAGAGCCUCAUUAUUUUAUGCAUAUAUGCACUGUAUUUAUUUAGUUUUUUGCUUGUAACAAGCGACAUCGACUGUGCACAGCAAGAUGCCAAACUAUCCAGGAACAAAGGAAAAUGCUUUAGUGACCUUACAUGAACUGUAGAAACAUAAACUCUCAAGACUCCAGAGCUUUAACUUUUGUUGUUCAUAGUGUUCUGUAGCUGUGGGCCACCACAAAUGAUACUUUAUUGUACUCCGACAGCCUGGGAAAGGUUCUGGACUGAAAUAAAACAAUGAGAUGAGAC